rnacentral:rRNA from 1 species
CCUACGGGAGGCAGCAGUGGGGAAUAUUGGGCAAUGGAGGAAACUCUGACCCAGCGACGCCGCGUGCGGGAUGAAGGCCUUCGGGUUGUAAACCGCUUUCAGUAGGGAAGAAGCGAAAGUGACGGUACCUACAGAAGAAGCACCGGCUAACUAUGUGCCAGCAGCCGCGGUAAUACAUAGGGUGCAAGCGUUGUCCGGAAUUAUUGGGCGUAAAGAGCUCGUAGGUGGUUCGUCACGUCGGAUGUGAAAAUCUGGGGCUCAACCCCAGACCUGCAUUCGAUACGGGCGAUCUAGAGUGUGGUAGGGGAGACUGGAAUUCCUGGUGUAGCGGUGGAAUGCGCAGAUAUCAGGAGGAACACCAAUGGCGAAGGCAGGUCUCUGGGCCAUUACUGACGCUGAGGAGCGAAAGCGUGGGGAGCGAACAGGAUUAGAUACCCUGGUAGUCCACGCCGUAAACGGUGGGCACUAGUUGUGGGAACCUUCCACGGUUUCUGCGACGCAGCUAACGCAUUAAGUGCCCCGCCUGGGGAGUACGAUCGCAAGAUUAAAACUCAAAGGAAUUGACGGCUGAGAGNGCGAGCGACACGAGGGAGAG